CUCAAGACUAGGGGUCAUAAGGCAUCUCCUGGUUACAACUACAUAAUGAAUACCCAAGACACAGAUAUGGGAAAAAUCAGUCCGCCAACGAAUGAAAAUGGGUUACCCAGAAGGCUCACGGUCGCCUCACAAGGUCCUUUUAAUACUGGAGUAUUGGCUGACAGACCCA